rnacentral:rRNA from 1 species
AUGUACGCCAUCACCUUGGGCAUGCUCGUGGCGCUGCUGCUCGGCCUCAACAUGUCCUGGAGUGCCAUUAUCGCCGCCCUCACGCUCAUCUUCCUCGACUUCAAGGACGCCCACCCCUACCUCGAGAAGCCGUGGGUUAAUGUUGGUGGUUUUGUUCUACUUGGAUGCAUUGGUACCCAUCAUCGAGCGAACGGAUGCAACAACGGCAAGAAGCUCAUGGCUGUGUGCAUCUAA